AGUGAACGCUGGCGGUAGGCCUAACACAUGCAAGUCGAACGGCAGCACAGUAAGAGCUUGCUCUUACGGGUGGCGAGUGGCGGACGGGUGAGGAAUACAUCGGAAUCUACUUUUUCGUGGGGGAUAACGUAGGGAAACUUACGCUAAUACCGCAUACGACCUACGGGUGAAAGCAGGGGAUCUUCGGACCUUGCGCGAUUGAAUGAGCCGAUGUCGGAUUAGCUAGUUGGCGGGGUAAAGGCCCACCAAGGCGACGAUCCGUAGCUGGUCUGAGAGGAUGAUCAGCCACACUGGAACUGAGACACGGUCCAGACUCCUACGGGAGGCAGCAGUGGGGAAUAUUGGACAAGGGGGGCAAGCCGGAUCCAGCCAUACCGCGUGGGUGAAGAAGGCCUUCGGGUGGUAAAGCCCUUUUGUUGGGAAAGAAAAGAAGCAGGUUAAUACCCCGCUGUUCUGACGGUACCCAAAGAAUAAGCACCGGCUACCUUCGU
rnacentral:rRNA from 1 species